CACGCGAUUGGGUUGGCCGAUGUCCGAUUAGCUAGUUGGUGAGGUAAAGGCUUACCAAGGCGAUGAUCGGUAGCUGGUCUGAGAGGAUGAUCAGCCACACUGGGACUGAGACACGGCCCAGACUCCUACGGGAGGCAGCAGUGGGGAAUUUUGGACAAUGGGGGCAACCCUGAUCCAGCCAUUCCGCGUGAGUGAAGAAGGCCUUCGGGUUGUAAAGCUCUUUUGUCCGGAGCGAAACGGGCGGCCCGAAUACCCACGACUACUGACGGUACCGGAAGAAUAAGCACCGGCUAACUACGUGCCAGCAGCCGCGGUAAUACGUAGGGUGCGAGCGUUAAUCGGAAUUACUGGGCGUAAAGCGUGCGCAGGCGGUUUUGUAAGCCAGACGCGAAAUCCCCGGGCUCAACCUGGGAAUGGCAUUUGGGACUGCAAGGCUGGAGUGUGGCAGAGGGGACUAGAAUUCCUGGUGUAGCAGUGAAAUGCGUAGAUAUCAGGAGGAAUACCGAUGGCGAAGGCAGGUCCCUGGGUUAACACUGACGCUCAUGCACGAAAGCGUGGGGAGCAAACAGGAUUAGAU
rnacentral:rRNA from 1 species